UAAGGGUUACAGCCCCUUCAAUUCCU
rnacentral:tRNA from 1 species